rnacentral:rRNA from 1 species
GAUGAACGCUGGCGGCGUGCCUAAUACAUGCAAGUCGAGCGAACGGACGAGGAGCUUGCUCUUCUGAUGUUAGCGGCGGACGGGUGAGUAACACGUGGAUAACCUACCUAUAAGACUGGGAUAACUUCGGGAAACCGGAGCUAAUACCGGAUAAUAUUUUGAACCGCAUGGUUCAAAAGUGAAAGACGGUCUUGCUGUCACUUAUAGAUGGAUCCGCGCUGCAUUAGCUAGUUGGUAAGGUAACGGCUUACCAAGGCAACGAUGCAUAGCCGACCUGAGAGGGUGAUCGGCCACACUGGAACUGAGACACGGUCCAGACUCCUACGGGAGGCAGCAGUAGGGAAUCUUCCGCAAUGGGCGAAAGCCUGACGGAGCAACGCCGCGUGAGUGAUGAAGGUCUUCGGAUCGUAAAACUCUGUUAUUAGGGAAGAACAUAUGUGUAAGUAACUGUGCACAUCUUGACGGUACCUAAUCAGAAAGCCACGGCUAACUACGUG